rnacentral:snRNA from 1 species
GCUCUUCACUUCGGCAGCACAUAUAGUAAAAUUGGAAUGAUACAGUGAAGAUUAGCAUGGCCCCUGCGCAAAGAUGAUACACAAAUUCGUGAAGCGUUCCGUAUUUAA